GGGAAAUAGAUGCUACACGGACGGUGGAGUCCCCAAAUUUCUCGGGGGUAGAGCCAUCGUCUCCGGCGAAAUCAAGCAUUUAAGGCGGAACAGAGAACUGAAAAGCUUGUCGUAGGAAACUUGCAGCUCUAGUAAGGAACAAGGUCGGGGUACAACAAUACACAACGAUGUUCAAGCAGUAAAGGACAUUUGGUGAAUUCAAUUGAAGAGCAACAACUACCUACAAGCACCAACAACAGCCAUGAGUAGAAGCCUCAAUUCAAGCAGAAGUAUGUCCUUUUACUGUAUUAUAUUCGACCACGCUUGCAAUAAAUGAACAACAAAGCAAGUACAGAUAUAUUAUGGUACUUCAGCUGAGGUCUCUCUACCUUUACAAGAUAAAAGGUAGGGGCGACGUUACGUACACACGUGACACCACCAUCCCCAGACCUUACUUGUGGGAUUAUACUCGAUAUCUUGUUGAUUUGAGCAACCAACAGUCCUGUACUUUUAAGCUGCUAUCCCUUUUCUUCAGCUGAAAUAGAGGCUGUGAUUGAGACAAACAUCAUUUAUCAUUUUCAUUAGUUAUUUCAUUGAAAAUAUUUUUCUUUUAAUGUAUCACUGAGUUUAGCAAAGUUGUAUAAUAAUUAAUAGCAAGUACUUGGUAAAGAUCUUGGGUUUAGUUUUCUGUAGUUCUAGUUUCUUAUGUUACAUAGUAUAACUUUAUUUUGCGGGCAGAGUCAGAUUCAUAAUUUGAAGUUACGAGUUCCUAAAAGCGGGUUCAACUUAAUAUACAAUAAUAUUAACAUGUACAGUUUUUAUAUACAAUAGGUAUCAGAUCGACAGAGUUACCUGAUAUGUCUUGUUGUUGGUGAUAGAUGAUACUAGUGUAUGUUAAUUGUUUCAGACAUCACGGUUAUCAAAUAAAACAUUAUUGAGUUCUUCAUAGACAAAUAUUUAAGGUUAUUUAGUGAAUGUUCUAAUGCA
rnacentral:lncRNA from 1 species